rnacentral:rRNA from 1 species
UACAGAGGGGGCAAGCGUUGUUCGGAAUUACUGGGCGUAAAGGGCGCGUAGGCGGCCUUCUAAGUCGAACGUGAAAUCCCCGGGCUCAACCCGGGAACUGCGUCCGAUACUGGAAGGCUUGAAUCCGGGAGAGGGAUGCGGAAUUCCAGGUGUAGCGGUGAAAUGCGCAGAUAUCUGGAGGAACACCGGUGGCGAAGGCGGCAUCCUGGACCGGUAUUGACGCUGAGGCGCGAAAGCCAGGGGAGCAAAGCGGG